rnacentral:RNase_P_RNA from 1 species
CAGGCUGGUCGGGCAGCCGCGGCUUCGCCUUGCGCGAGGUCGAGGAAAGUCCGCACUCCACAGAGCGCAACGCCGGGUAACACCCGGGGCGGGGGCGGCAAUUUUGCCGAUUACCUGCCGGAUCGGGCCACAGAAACAUACCGCUGAAUGAGCCAGCCCAGGCUGGCUCAAAGCAAGGGUGAAACGGUGGGGUAAGAGCCCACCGACGGCCGCAGCAAUGCGGCGGUCAGGCAACCCCCGUUGGGAGCAAGGUCAAGCAGAGACGGCGCUGCUCGCGCACACGUCUCGGGUAGACUGCUAGAGCUGCCUGGUAACAGUCAGCCCAGAGAGAUGGCUGCCGGCGCGACCUCAGGGUUGCGUUACAGAAUGCGGCUUAUAGACCAGCCUGGAGU